GGCAGGAAGCAAAACGCGGGGAGUCGACCAAGCCGAGAGAAAGGUGACACCAGAGGGAGAGAGAGCUCAUUCACCUGAACCACAGCUGGCAAAGACACAACUCUCUGCAAAGAGCAGGGCGUGACUUCUUUACAGGCUAGACAAAGAGCAAAUAAUGGCCUGCACUACUUUCAUGAAGGACACAGCAGGUUGGAGAGGUACCUUGAACCUCCUCCUGUUAGGACUCCUUCUACUCUCAGUAAUAGUGUCAGGUCAAGGCAACACAACCACUAUCGGGCCAACAACCGACAACACUACAAUUCCGUCC